GCAACCUCGCCGUCGUGGGGCUCGUGAUGGCUUCCUGCGCUGUCACGGCGGUCUCCGGCGAAGCAGGCCCGAUGCUCUGCUUCGGCAUGUUUGCUCUGCUCCUCCUCGGCCUCUCCCUGAUCAGCGUUGGGAUUCUUGGCCUCUCCCAGAUGCAUUGAUGCAGGUAACGACCUCCAAUGGAAGAAUCACAAUCACCACACGCUGUCUCUCAUAGACCUACUACUACUGCUACUGUGUGCUUGCUUAUGUAGAAUCAUUCUCAUGCUUCGCUACUACAGUCCAGUCCAAGUGUUCUUCUUUCCUCUGGCCAUGUAAUAAAAUACUCUCUCUCCUGAGAGAUGAUGGAAGACAAUACUGUCUGUGAGCAUUGGAUAAAAUGCAAUCACGUGCAUAGUUUGAUGAAAGCGUGAUGUUUUGAGUA
rnacentral:lncRNA from 1 species